rnacentral:rRNA from 1 species
UGGGGAAUAUUGCGCAAUGGGGGGAACCCUGACGCGGCCAUGCCGCGUGAAUGAAGAAGGCCUUAGGGUUGUAAAGUUCUUUCGGUAUUGAGGAAGGUUGAUGUGUUAAUAGCACAUCAAAUUGACGUUAAAUACAGAAGAAGCACCGGCUAACUCCGUGCCAGCAGCCGCGGUAAUACGGAGGGUGCGAGCGUUAAUCGGAAUAACUGGGCGUAAAGGGCACGCAGGCGGUUAUUUAAGUGAGGUGUGAAAGCCCCGGGCUUAACCUGGGAAUUGCAUUUCAGACUGGGUAACUAGAGUACUUUAGGGAGGGGUAGAAUUCCACGUGUAGCGGUGAAAUGCGUAGAGAUGUGGAGGAAUACCGAAGGCGAAGGCAGCCCCUUGGGAAUGUACUGACGCUCAUGUGCGAAAGCGUGGGGAGCAAACAGGAUUAGAUACCCUGGUAGUCCACGCUGUAAACGCUGUCGAUUUGGGGGUUGGGGUUUAACUCUGGCGCCCGUAGCUNACGUGAUAAAUCGACCGCCUGGGGAGUACGGCCGCAAGGUU